AGAGGGUGCGAGCGUUGUCCGGAAUCACUGGGCGUAAAGGGCGCGUAGGCGGCCUGGUAAGUCGGGGGUGAAACGCUGCGGCUCAACCGCAGCACUGCCUUCGAGACUGUCAGGCUUGAGCACGGUAGAGGCUGGUGGAAUUCCCGGUGUAGCGGUGGAAUGCGUAGAGAUCGGGAAGAACAUCGGUGGCGAAGGCGGCCAGCUGGGCCGUUGCUGACGCUGAGGCGCGACAGCGUGGGGAGCAAACAGGAUUAGAUACCCUGGUAGUUCACGCCGUAAACGAUGGAUGCUAGCCGUUGGACAGCUUGCUGUUCAGUGGCGCAGCUAACGCAUUAAGCAUCCCGCCUGGGGAGUACGGUCGCAAGAUUA
rnacentral:rRNA from 1 species